GGUGCGGCGGGCAUCGGCCGGCUGCCGGCGCUGUGGGCGCUGGUGAUGGGCCUCGGCACGUUCGCGGCGCGCCCGUACCU
rnacentral:tRNA from 1 species